rnacentral:tRNA from 1 species
GCCGGGGUAGCUCAGUUGGUAGAGCAACCGAUUUGUAAUCGGUAGGUUCGCGAGUUCAAGCCUCGCCCCCGGCU